UACGAAGGGGGCUAGCGUUGCUCGGAAUCACUGGGCGUAAAGCGCACGUAGGCGGACUCUUAAGUCGGUGGUGAAAUCCUGGAGCUCAACUCCAGAACUGCCUUCGAUACUGGGAGUCUCGAGUUCGGGAGAGGUGAGUGGAACUGCGAGUGUAGAGGUGAAAUUCGUAGAUAUUCGCAAGAACACCAGUGGCGAAGGCGGCUUUCUGGACGAUAACUGACGCUGGAGACGCGAAAGCGUGGGGAGCAAACAGG
rnacentral:rRNA from 1 species